rnacentral:rRNA from 1 species
AUGGAGGACGUCUGCGAGGGGAAGGACUUCUCCUUCCCGGCGGAGGAGGAGCGCGUGCUCCGCCUCUGGUCCGAGCUCGACGCCUUCCACGAGCAGCUCCGUCGCACGGAGGGCGGCGAGGAGUUCGUCUUCUACGACGGCCCCCCCUUCGCCACAGGGCUCCCGCACUACGGCCACAUCCUCGCGGGCACCAUCAAGGACGUGGUCACCCGGCACCAGGCGAUGCGGGGCCGCCACGCACGCAGGAACAGGGGAAAGCAGAGGACUUGUAGCCUGACACACGGCCUCCCUGUCGAGCACGAGAUCGACAAGCUCCUCGAGAUCAAGACCCGGCAGGAUGUGCUCGACAAGGGCAUCGGUGUGUACAACGAGGCCUGCCGCGGCAUCGUCACCAAGUAUGUCGCCGAGUGGGAGGCCGUCGUCACGCGCGUGGGGAGGUGGAUUGUUUUCAAGGCCGGCUACAAGACGAUGGACAUCAACUUCAUGGAGAGCGUCUGGUGGGUCUUCGCGCAGCUCUGGCACAAGGACCUCGUGUACAAGGGCUUCAAGGUGAUGCCUUACAGCACAGGCUGCAGGACUGCAUUGUCAAACUUUGAGGCCGGGCUGGACUAUAGGACUGUUUCAGAUCCAGCAGUCAUGGUGUCUUUCCCUAUUGCCGGUGAUGUGGACAAUGCAUCUCUUGUCGCAUGGACCACAACUCCCUGGACUCUCCCAAGCAAUCUAGCAUUAUGUGUCAAUGCCAAUCUUGUGUAUGCCAAGGUUAAGGACAAAUCAAAUGGAACAGUAUACAUUGUUGCUGAAAGUAGGCUUGGGCAGUUGCCAGUUAAGGCCAAAGCUUCCGGAAAGAAGCAAGCAACUUCUAAGGGAAGCAUGACUGAAGCUGUUCAAGGCGGUUUGGAUACUGAAUCGUACGAGUUACUGGCAAAGAUUCCUGGUUCAUCCUUAGUAGGCCUAAAGUACACUCCUUUGUUUGAUUUUUUCUUGGAGCUUCAGGAGACUGCCUUUAGGGUCAUUGCAGAUAACUAUGUAACUGAUGAUAGUGGAACCGGUGUGGUCCAUUGUGCUCCUGCUUUCGGUGAAGAUGACCAUCGUGUUUGCCUUGCUGCCGGGAUAAUUGAGGCUAGUGGCCUUGUUGUCGCUGUUGAUGAUGAUGGUUGCUUUAUUGACAAGAUAUCUGAGUUCAGAGGGCGACCUGUUAAAAAGGUUGACAAGGAUAUCAGCAGUGUUGACAAUGAUAUCAUCAGUGCUGUUAAGGAUAAAGGAAGGCUUGUUAGUAAAGGGAGCAUUGAACACUCUUAUCCAUAUUGUUGGCGCUCAGAGACUCCUCUCAUUUACCGGCCUGUUCCAAGCUGGUUCAUUAAGGUUGAAAAGAUAAGGGAUCAGUUGCUGGAGUGCAACAAGGAGAUCUACUGGGUUCCAGAUUAUGUCAAGGAAAAGAGAUUCCAUAACUGGCUAGAAGGUGCCAGGGACUGGGCUGUUAGCAGAAGUAGAUUCUGGGGUACUCCACUUCCAGUAUGGAUCAGCCAAGAUGGUGAAGAAAUUGUAGUUAUGAAUUCCAUUGAAAAACUUGAAAAAUUAUCUGGUGUCAAGGUUAGCGAUCUUCACCGACAUUAUGUUGAUGAUAUUACGAUUCAGUCUAGCAGAGGACCAGAGUAUGGGGUGCUCAAACGGGUUGAAGAUGUUUUCGACUGCUGGUUUGAGAGUGGCUCCAUGCCAUAUGCCUACAUUCAUUAUCCAUUUGAGAACCGUGAACUAUUUGAGAAUAAUUUUCCUGGAGACUUCGUGGCAGAGGGCUCGGACCAAACACGUGGAUGGUUCUAUACUUUGAUGGUGUUAUCAACAUCAUUGUUUGGGAAGCCUGCUUUUAAGAAUCUUAUUUGCAAUGGUCUUGUCUUGGCCGAGGAUGGUAAGAAAAUGAGCAAGAGUAAAAAGAAUUACCCUGCUCCAACAGAAGUCAUUGAUGAAUACGGAGCAGAUGCGUUGACGCUGUAUUUGGUAAAUUCGCCAGUUGUACGCGCAGAGUCUCUACGAUUCAGAAGGAGUGGUGUUUUUGGUGUUGUGAAAUAUGUUUUCCUCCCAUGGUAUAAUGCAUAUAGAUUUCUUGUCCAAAAUGCAAAGAGAUUUGAGGUUGAGGGCCUCGGAGCAUUUUCUCCGAUUGAUCAAACUUCACUUCUGAAAUCAUCCAAUGUGUUAGAUCACUGGAUAAAGUCCGCAACUGAAAGUCUGGCCAGCUUUGUUCGGCAGGAGAUGGAUGCCUAUCGGCUUUACACGGUUGUGCCAUAUUUGGUAAAAUACAUUGACAAUCUUACUAUUAUAUACGUGCGUUUCAACCGCAAACGGCUAAAAGGACGCACUGGAGACAGUGGCGGAGCCAGGAAAUUUGAAUUAGGGGGGCCGAUUGCAGCACUUGUAACAACUUGUGUGGCGAUGGCUCCAUUUACACCUUUCUUUACUGAGGUUCUUUAUCAAAAUCUGCGAAAGGUUUCAAGUAAAUCAGAGCAGAGCAUUCAUUUUUGUAGUUUCCCAUCGACAACUGGGGAGAGAGAUGGGCGUGUUGAGCAGAGUGUAAGCAGGAUGAUGACCAUCAUUGAUCUUGCUCGCAAUAUUCGAGAACGGCGCAACAAAGCUCUCAAAACGCCACUUAAGGAGAUGGUGGUCUUUCAUCCUGACAAUGAAUUUCUGGAAGACAUUGGUGGAAAGCUAAAAGAGUAUGUCAUGGAGGAGAUGAAUGUUAAGAUUGUCACAACAUGUGAUGAUCCCAUGAAGUAUUCUGUUUCGCGGGCAGAACCCAAUUUUAGCGUACUAGGCAAAAGACUGGGAAAAGACAUGGGCAAAGUAUCAAGUGAAGUUAAGAAAAUGACUCAGGACCAAAUCUUGGCAUUUGAACGAAGUGGAAAGGUUUCAUUCCUUGGUCAUUGCUUGACGGUAGACGAUAUUAAGGUGGUCCGACAAUUCAAGCGUCCAGCAAAUAUGUCAGAGAAAGAAAUGGAUGCUGCAGGAGAUGGUGAUGUUUUGGUCAUAUCGGAUCUUACAGCUGAUCAAUCGUUGUUUGAAGCUGGAGUGGCUCGCGAGGUCGUAAACAAAAUCCAGAAGUUACGUAAGGUUGCUCAGCUGGAACCUACGGACCUGGUUGAUGUGUAUUACAAAUCUGAAGAUGAUAACAACACACUUCAAGAAAUUUUGCAGUCACAGGAUCAGUACAUUAGGGAUGUGCUUGGUAGUUCACCUAUCCCAAAGGCAAUGGCGCAAUCAUAUGUGGUUUUCAUCUGUGAGGAUUCCCACGUUGUACACGGUAUGUCGUUUGUCAUCUACAUAGCAAGGUGCAUCCCCGUGGUCACAUCUGAUCUCCUUCCCCAUGCCGUAGGCAACAGUGACCACGUCGAUGCAUUACGAGCUUAUUUGCUGUCAAGGUCUCUGGCCAGACUGAAGAGCGAAUUCCAGGCUGGAAAUGGCAAGCUCAAGACCCUCUCAUGCAUGUCGUCUGUUUUGGUGAGCUUCGUGCUCUUCGUGCUAUCUCGGUUCAUCUUUGCUCAACAACGAUGCAACGAUGCCUCCCCACCUUGUUAA